UUUCCGUAGACAUGCAAUUUUCUAAUUCUAUAAUCUAUAGACAUUUUUCUGUAAUUCUGAUAUCAAUGCUAGAAUUAUAUAUAAUUUGGCUAUGAAAUUCUCCGAACAGCUGCUGGGAGCAGUACCUAUUUCGAAAGAAUCAAGGAUUUGGAAAAAAUAGUAAUUUGACUAAUUUGAGGGUUAUGUACUAACUUGCAUGGAGAUUUGAAAUGAAAAAUGUCAAGAAACUGAAGAAUUUGAGUUGAUUAAAAAGAGAACGAAUCAAUAUAUAGGUCGAAUUUCAAAUUAAAUUGUAGUUUUUCUUUGCUAUACAGAGGGAUAGCGUUGUGAGUUGCACAUCUCUCGAAAGAACAGAACGGCACUGCUUAAUUGGAAUAUAAACAUAAACCCAACCAUCCUAUGUCAAAACUUCCCUUGUAAAUAAACUUGUGUAUAUAAUUUAUGGGAAUGAAUAAUAAAAAAAUGCUGUAAAGCAAAAAAAUGUGUGUUAUUUGGUCAAAGUUAUUUCAUAACCCAUCUGAGCGACAAAAUGUUAACAUUCGUGCGCUCGACAUGCCUUAGAAGAAAAUUAUAUGUUUAAUCGAAACAUAUGUUCAAAAAACAUCCAAAUUUAUAAACUCGUGUUCUCAGGAUGGAAGGAACACCACAAUCCUCAAAAAUGCCUCCCCAAAAACAGAGAUAUAUUUUUUUCCUGUACUCUUCGGAAGAUUUCUUGAUAAAAUCUUAUAGCAAAACAUGCACAAACUGAAGAGUACAUUCCAGAUGAGUUUCUAUCUGUGAUAACAAUAAAAAAUGAUAUGAACUUUUCUAAACAAAAUAUAAAACCAGGAUCAACGACGUUGUCCCCAGAUGUAAAAAUGCGAAACCUCUCAAAUGAAUAACCCUCUAAAUGACAUAUCGCAAGUAUUAAGUGAUGUUUUUUCUUUCUGAU